AGGGGGUUUACUUGUACACCAAGCUGCCUCAGGAAUAGAAGAUCUGCUCCAAUGAGCUGAUCUGGCUCAGCCAAGGCUUCAUACUUAUAGUCAAGAUGAUGAUGAACUGGUAUUAUAAAAUACUAUGUAUUUGCAGUUAUUGAACGAGUGGAUGUUUGGAGAAUAAACAAAAAACACUAGUAACAUCCAACAAAUACAUAAUUUAUUACUCCAAACGUCAUCAGAGCAUUUCAUAAAUACCACAGGACAUUAGAUCUUGGGACGUUAGCCCAACCAAAACAGUGACAAAAUCUUGCACAAAAUAUCUUGAAAAGAAACAUAUAGUAAACAUUGAACUGGUACAGCACUUCCAUUCAGACCACACAGCAAGUCCACCUACAGAUACAGAUAAGCCUAUUUGAUGUAUGAAGUGUGAUUGUGCCAAAAAACGGUCUCUAAUUGCACCCUAUUGCCUAUGUAGUGCACUACGUUUGAAGAGAGCCCUAUUGGCCCUGUAGGGAAUAGGGUGCCAUUUGGGAUGCAGGUUAAGAGUAUUUAGUCUGUGGUAGCAUAAACAUUAAUGACUAGACACUGGCAUAGGUACACAGUUAUGUACACUAAAACAACAACAACAAAUAAAACAGCUUCUAUUAUCUGAACAGCCAUCACUAGCCGUCUACCAGGGGAUGCACACUCACUGACACAAGCUAUCACACCCCUCAUACUCACAAAACACAUACACUCACACACACAGGCAUACAAGCAGCUGCCGGUGCUAUCCAGUGUUGUAAAUACAUUGAACCACUGGACGUUUCCCGUUUCACAUUGAGAAUUGAAAUACUGUACUCCCGACACAGCUCAUUCUGAUAUUUCUACUACUGUACUUUGUGUUUAGUUACACUGUUUUAUACACAUCGCAUAUUUAUUUAUACACCGGAUUCUUGACAUAGCUCAGUAAUAUCAGUGGUGAUAUUUUGAUACUGAAGUACCUUGUUAAAAAUACAUUAAAGUACUCCUUAAAAGUCGUUUUUGAGGUAUCUAUACUUUACUAUUUCUAUUUUUGACAACUUUUUUUUUAUUACUACAUUCCUAAAGAAAACAAUGUACUUUUUACUCCAUACAUUUUCCCUGACCCUCAAAUGUACCCGUUACAUUUUUUAUGCCUUGCAGGACAUAUUGUUCAAUUCAUGCAUUUAUCAAGAGAACAUCCCUGGUCUUCCCUGGUGCCUAUGAUCUGUCUGACUCACUAAACACACAUGCCUUGUUGGUAAAUUGUCUGAAUGUUGGAGUGUGUCCCUGGCUAACUGUGCAUUUUAAAAACAAGAAAAUGGUGCUGUCUGGUUUGCUUAAUAUAAGGAAUUUGAAAUGAUUUAUACUUUUUACUUUUGAUACUUAAGUAUAUUUCAGCAAUUACAUGUACAUUUGAUACUAAAGUAUAUUUUAGCAAUUACAUGUAUUUUUGAUACUGAAGUAUAUUUAAAACCAUAUACUUUUAGACUUUUAGUAGUAUUUUAAUUUAAUGAGUGACUGUCAAUUUUACUUGAGUCAUUUUCAAUUAAGGUAAAGUAUCUUUACUUUGACUCAAAUAUGACAACUGGGGACUUUUUCAACCACUGACUAAUAUACAGUAUGUACUGCUGCACAUAUCACUCUCAGUAGAUCUAGUGUAAAUCCUCCUGUGUAUAUACGUAUCGAUUGCAUCUGCAUUACUUUUACAGGGCAAUUUGGGUUGUUAAUUGUCCUGACUUUCUUGAUAUCUUUUUUUUGUUUAACUUUUUAAAAAUGUUUUAUUAUUAUUUGUGUACUUGUUCGACAUUUUACUGCAUUGUCAGAAACUAGAAAUGUACGUAAGCAUUUCAUAACAUCCGCUAAACUGUGGACACAAACUAUACACCUUGAUUUGUACCGUAGUGGAACCUGAUUCACCAACUUAGCAGUAGUUAAGUGUAUGAUGUCUAGCAGUUCAUGUUGGUACGUGUGUGUGUGUGUGUGUGUGUGUGUGUGUGUGUGUGUGUGUGUGUGUGUGUGUGUGUGUGUGUGUGUGUGUGUGUGUGUGGGUAUGUCUGGGUGGUCCUAAUGCCCCCCCAACCCCUACAUGGUGCUAGGCUGAAUGCUGCAGAGUCAGCUAGUUGGUUCUAGAAUCAUUGCACAUAAUGACAACGUCUCUCUCUCAGUUUGGCUGUCUAGAGACACAGAUUUUAUACUACACCACCUUAUUUAGGAAACACACACAGGGCCGGCCCUAGGCAUAAGAAACAUAGGCAACCAGUUUUUUGGGAACUCAGUCAGGGUCUCAGGUUAAUGUUGAGCGUUAGAACAGUACAAUAAACAUGGUGUAAUUUCGAAAUUUGGUUGUGCAUCUGGAGUUUUUGUGUAGAAAUGCAGGACAUUUGCUGUAAAAUUGCACAUUUAUCUCUCCACCCAAUGUCUCGAGGUGCAGCAAACGUGUUUAAUAAAAUAAUUCAAUGCCCUAUUGGCAAAAUGUGUAGAAUUGCAGUUAAUUAAAUUGCAUUUAAUUGACAAAAAAAUAAAUAAUAAUCUCUCCACUGUCAAGAGGGGAGCCACUAAAAUGUUUUGCCCGUGAGUUGGAAGAGGCCCAAAAGGCUAGGGCUGGCCCUGCAUGCAUGCACACAUGUGCACCCACACACACAUACACCAUGAUGAACUUUGACACACACAGAGCCAAGGUGCAUGGAGAGGUCAUGGCCAGGAGGAAGCAAGGUAGAUAAUCAAGGAGAGGACCAGGAGUGAGCAGAGUACAUGUCCAGGAGAGGACCAGGAGGGAGCAGAGUAGAUGUCCAGGAGAGGACCAGGAGGGAGCAGUGUAGAUGACCAGGAGGGAGCAGUGUAGAUGUCCAGGAGAGGACCAGGAGGGAGCAGUGUAGAUGUCCAGGAGAGGACCAGGAGGGAGCAGUGUAGAUGUCCAGGAGAGGACCAGGAGGGAGCAGAGUAGAUGUCCAGGAGAGGACCAGGAGGGAGCAGAGUAGGUGUCCAGGAGAGGACCAGGAGGGAGCAGUGUAAAUGUCCAGGAGAGGACCGGGAGGGAGCAGAGUAGAUGUCCAGGAGAGGACCAGGAGGGAGCAGUGUAGAUGUCCAGGAGAGGACCAGGAGGGAGCAGAGUAGAUGUCCAGGAGAGAACCAGGAGAGACCAGUGUAGAUGACCUGUUUAUGCUAGAUGUUCCUCUUUAGAAGCUUUUCUUUUUUUGACACAAAGACCACAGCAUUAAAGAAACGCACUGAAAUGUCCAAUACACACAGACAAACACAGAGCACACAUGCACGCUUUUACAGGGGAAUGCAUACCCUCUGGAUUUGCAUUUAUUCAAAUAUGGGUUCUUUAUGUCCAAGUCUAAAACCAUGUUUUCUUUUCAAUGUGUGGGUCUUUUCUGUAUAAUUUUCAGUUUUUGUAGGCUGCUGAUGCAAAUGUAGUGAGAUGGUCGGGUUACUAGAUUUGCACAUUCCACACAACAAUAAACAUUUAAAUAAUGAAUGCUUUUUAUAAUUUAUUUAUGAAUAAAAAAACUAAAUCCAAUAAAAAAACGGUGUUUAUUUGCUAUCACACAUUGACCCAUACUGACAUAUUUUUUGUGCUGCAGGGCUUUUGACAACAAUUGGCGCCGGCCAAAGCUACAGUACAGGACAAAGAGAUUCAUCCAAAAGAACAAAGUUCACAGAUUCAACACCAUCAGUUGACAACACUUGAGACGCAAAGCCACAACACACAGGCCACUAAAACUGUUUUAGACGGGUAGAAAACAGCCUGGCCAACAGUAGCUACAUUUAGCGUGGUUAUACUAUUGUCAUAGCACACUGUUGAUCACAAGACUGUUUACAGCUAGGGGAAGUGGUCGGGGCUAUGUGAAAAACAGCUAGGGGAAAUGGUCGGAGUUAUGUCUUAAACAGCUAGGGGAAAUGGUCGGAGUUAUGUCUUAAACAGCUAGGGGAAAUGGUCGGAGUUAUGUCUUAAACAGCUAGGGGAAGUGGUCGGGGUUAUGUCUUAAACAGCUAGGGGAAAUGGUCGGGGCUAUGUGAAAAACAGCUAGGGGAAAUGGUCUAGGGGAGUUAUGUCUUAAACAGCUAGGGGAGGUGGUCGGGGUUAUGUCUUAAACAGCUAGGGGAAGUGGUCGGGGCUAUGUGAAAAACAGCUAGGGGAGGUGGUCGGGGUUAUGUCUUAAACAGCUAGGGGAAGUGGUCGGGG
ensembl:lncRNA